UACGUAGGGGGCGAGCGUUGUCCGGAUUCAUUGGGCGUAAAGCGCGCGUAGGCGGCUUCGCACGUCGGCCGUGAAAUCUCCGGGCUCAACUCGGAGGGGUCGGGCGAGACUGCGAGGCUCGAGGUGGGCAGAGGGCAGUGGAAUUCCGGGUGUAGUGGUGGAAUGCGUAGAGAUCCGGAGGAACACCAGUGGCGAAGGCGGCUGCCUGGGCCUGGCCUGACGCUGAGGCGCGAAAGCGUGGGGAGCGAACAGG
rnacentral:rRNA from 1 species